UGGGGAAUCUUGCACAAUGGGGGCAACCCUGAUGCAGCGACGCCGCGUGAGAGAUGAAGCCCUUCGGGGCGUAAAGCUCUUUCGACCGGAACGAUAAUGACGGUACCGGUAGAAGAAGCUGCGGCUAACUACGUGCCAGCAGCCGCGGUAAAACGUAGGAGGCGAGCGUUAUCCGGAUUUACUGGGCGUAAAGCGCGUGCAGGCGGAUUGGAGAGUUGGAUGUGAAAGCUCCCGGCUUAACUGGGGGAGGUCGUUCAAUACUUCCAGUCUUGAGUGCAGUAGAGGGAAGUGGAAUUCCGGGUGUAGUGGUGAAAUGCGUAGAUAUCCGGAGGAACACCAGUGGCGAAAGCGGCUUCCUGGACUGUAACUGACGCUCAGACGCGAAAGCUAGGGUAGCA
rnacentral:rRNA from 1 species